rnacentral:rRNA from 1 species
AUACGGAGGAUGCAAGCGUUAUCCGGAUUUAUUGGGUUUAAAGGGUGCGUAGGCGGUUUGCUAAGCGGGAGGUGAAAUGCCGGCGCUCAACGUCGGAAGUGCCUCCCGAACUGGUGGACUUGAAUGACUCUGCCGUGGGAGGCAUGUGUAGUGUAGCGGUGAAAUGCUUAGAGAUUACACAGAACACCGAUUGCGAAGGCAUCUCACGAAGGGUUGAUUGACGCUGAGGCACGAAAGCGUGGGGAUCAAACAGGAUUAGAUACCCUGGUAGUCCACGCAGUAAACGAUGAUGGCUAACCGCUGGGCUUAUCAGUUCAGUGGCCAAGCGAAAGCGAUAAGCCAUCCACCUGGGGAGUACGACCGCAAGGUUGAAACUCAAAUGAAUUGACGGGG